rnacentral:rRNA from 1 species
CGGUGUUUAACUGGCGUGAUGUGGGACGUCCUACCGGUGGGCUUAGCCUCGCGAGGGGCGGCCCAACUAAUAUCCCGUCGCGGUGCUCUUUACUGAGUGUCGAGUCGGGCCGGUACGUUUACUUUGAACAAAUUAGAGUGCUUAAAGCAGGCUAUCCUCGCCUGAAUACUGCGUGCAUGGAAUAAUGGAAUAGGACCUCGGUUCUAUUUUGUUGGUUUUCGGAACCCCGAGGUAAUGAUUAAUAGGGACAGAUGGGGGCAUUCGUAUUGCGACGUUAGAGGUGAAAUUCUUGGAUCGUCGCAAGACGGACGGAAGCGAAAGCAUUUGCCAAAAAUGUUUUCAUUAAUCAAGAACGAAAGUUAGAGGUUCGAAGGCGAUCAGAUACCGCCCUAGUUCUAACCAUAAACGAUGCCAGCUAGCGAUCCGCCGAAGUUCCUCCGAUGACUCGGCGGGCAGCUUCCGGGAAACCAAAGCUUUUGGGUUCCGGGGGAAGUAUGGUUGCAAAGCUGAAACUUAAAGGAAUUGACGGAAGGGCACCACCAGGAGUGGAGCCUGCGGCUUAAUUUGACUCAACACGGGAAACCUCACCAGGCCCAGACACCGGAAGGAUUGACAGAUUGAUAGCUCUUUCUUGAUUCGGUGGGUGGUGGUGCAUGGCCGUUCUUAGUUGGUGGAGCGAUUUGUCUGGUUAAUUCCGAUAACGAACGAGACUCUAGCCUGCUAAAUAGGCGUACCUUAUGGUAUCGCGAAGGCCCCCGGCUUCGGCCGGUGGGUUUUUACUACCAACGUACAAACAAAUCUUCUUAGAGGGACAGGCGG